GUUGUAUAGCUUAGUAGGUAAAGCAUUGUGCUUUUAACCUAAUGGUUGUAGGUUCAAGUUCUUUUAUAGACA
rnacentral:tRNA from 1 species